GUCUAGAGGAGGAGUUUCUCAAUGAGUCUCACCUGAAGAAUGACAAGAACCGAGACCAGAGAAACACCAACGACAAGAUGUCCAGAAGAGUGGAGGUGAUCAUCAGCUCCUCAGCUCCACAGGAUCAGGCCGAGCCUCCUCUUCAGAUCACAGAGUCGAAGCCCGGAGAGCAUCCAGGAGUGAAGGGCUUCUUAAUGAUCAAGCCGGCGGUGCUGGGGUGGCUGGAGAUCCUGACCGGUGCCGGUGUGUUUGGACUCGUAUAUUGGAAUUACACUCUCUGGUUGUUAAUACCGGCUUGCUUUGUGAUUUUAAUAGGAGUUAUAACCGCUACAGCUGCAUGCACCCACAACCCGUGUCUGGUGAUCACUUCUCAAGUGCUGAAUCUGCUCAAUGUCUGCAAUGUGGUGACGGCCGUCCUUCUGUUUUUCGUCAGAGUCUUCUUUGUAUUUCUUGGAGAUAUUGUUGGAGCUAUUGUGCGCACUCAUUUUCUGAGCAGCCGCUCUGAGAGCUCUUCUUCUCAGACCGCAAACAUCGCCUUCAUCGCCUGUAAUGUCCUGGCGCUCAUCUUCUCUCUUAUCAUCAUCGUGACGUCGUGCUGCUGGUGUAGAUCGAGAAAGCGUCUGAUGGUGAUCCACAUGAACGCAGCUUCACCUGCAGCGCUCAGUGAUGACGUGGAUUAUCUGUGUCCAGAACUUUCACCGCCAGCCUAUAGUCCGGUUCCUUCUUCAGAUCCGCCGGCCUAUGAGGAGGAGCGACGCUCGACUCUUUCUGGAGUUUCUACUCAGAAGUGGGCAAUGAGAAAAUGGAAAGAAGAACUGCAGCGCAGCAGAAAACCCAUCCAAGUCUGACCGGGAUCAUUUAUUUCCAGAUCAGUGAGACUUCUAUGCUCUAAAGUAGAGCUUUAGUGACUUGUAUUUUAUUUGACCUCUUAUAAUGUCCACAGGGCUCAGUUUAAGCCCCUUUAUUAGUGUAAUGUCUUUUAUCAUAACACUAUUUUUCACUUGCAUCAGAUGCACAUCAAUCAAUCUGAUGGACCUAUAGACGGCAUUCACUGGUGGAUGUCACAGAACUUUCUGCAAGACAUGAACUGAUGCAUUUUUAUAAUUUUGUCACAUUAAAAGGUUUUAAGUCAUGCUUCCAAAAAUUAAGGCUUAAAAGAGCAAAGAAGUCGUGGCAUUAAAUGUUGCAUGAAGUGCACAAAUGAAUAUCUUCCUCAGUAUUUUUGUCUUGUUUAAGUACUAAUAUCUAAACAUCCUGAAAUCAAGAUAUGAAGUCUUGCUUCUUUAAAGAAGUUUAUCAAUAUGAAGAGAGUUUAAGGGGAAUAAAAACUGGU
rnacentral:lncRNA from 1 species